rnacentral:snoRNA from 1 species
UCUGCCCCUUGAGGUGUUGCAGUCCGACUAUGUGUUGAGCCUGUGUCAUGAGGGGCGGAGAGUAACCGGGCUAUGUCUACGCCAAGGACCCAGGACAGUGGGUACUUUGCAUGACUAUGGCGCCGAUAUU